UUGAUCCUGGCUCAGAACGAACGCUGGCGGCGUGCUUAACACAUGCAAGUCGGAUGCGAACGGCGCUUUCGGGCGUUGAGUAGCAUGGCAGACGGGUGAGGAGCGCGUAUCUGACUGGACUCAGGCUGGGGGAUAGUCCCUCGAAAGGGGGUUGAAUACCGCGUGUGCUCGGUGCUGUGAGGGCAUCGAGGAAAGUUGGCCUCUGCGGGCACGCUGAUGGCCUGAGACAGGGAUGCGUCCUAUUAGCUAGCUGGUGGGGUAAGGGCCUACCAGGGCGACGAUGGGUAGCUGGUCUGAGAGGAUGAUCAGCCACACUGGGACUGCGACACGGCCCAGACUCCUACGGGAGGCAGCAGUGGGGAAUUUUGCGCAAUGGGCGCAAGCCUGACGCAGCAACGCCGCGUGCAUGACGACGCCUUUCGAGGUGUAAAGUGCUGUCGACCGGGACGAAGGGGCGAGGGUGAACAGCUUUCGCGCAUGACGGUACCGGUGGAGGAAGCCCCGGCUAACUCCGUGCCAGCAGCCGCGGUAAGACGGAGGGGGCGAGCGUUGUUCGGAAUUACUGGGCGUAAAGCGCGCGUAGGCGGUGCAGCAAGUGGUGCGUGAAAGCCCUCGGCUUAACCGGGGACGGGCGUGCCAAACUGUUGGACUGGAGUGCCGGAGGGGGAGGCCGGAAUUCCUGGUGGAGCGGUGAAAUGCGUAGAGAUCAGGAAGAACGUCGGUGGCGAAGGCGGCCCCCUGGACGGACACUGACGCUGAGGUGCGACAGCGUGGGGAGCGAACGGGAUUAGAUACCCCGGU
rnacentral:rRNA from 1 species